AAUGAACGCUGGCGGCAGGCUUAACACAUGCAAGUCGAGCGGAAGAAGGGAGCUUGCUCGUGGAUCCAGCGGCGGACGGGUGUGUAAUGCCCAGGAAUCUGCUUCGCUGUGCGGGAUAAUGUCCGGAAACGGCCGCUAAUACUGCCUACGUCCUGAGGGAGAUAGUGGGGGAUCUUCGGACCUUAUGCUAUCAGAUGAGCGUAGGUCGGAUUAGCGAGUUGGUGGGGGAAAGGCCUACCAAGGCGACGAUCCGUAACUGGUCUGAGAGGAUGGUCAGUCACACUGGAACUGAUACACGGUCCAGACUCCUGCGAGAGGCAGCAGUGGGGAAUAUUGGGCAGAGGGCGAGAGCCUGAUCCAGCCGGGCCGCGUGUGUGAAGAAGGUCUUCGGAUUGUAAAGCACUUUAAGUUGGGAUGAAGGGCAGUAAGUUAAUACCUUGCUGUUUUGACGUUACCAGCAGAAUAAGCACCGGCUAACUUCGUG
rnacentral:rRNA from 1 species